UUUCAGUUUCUUUCUUUUAUUCAAAAGAAACCACAAAUACCAGUUCUAUCAGACAGUUGGGCCAUUUUCAACUCAAGGCAUCUGAGUUCCUCCUCAUCAAGUCAAGGGAAGUCGCAAAACCAGACGGAAUUCAAGGGAAGGAAACCGACUCCGCCUCUGAUGGCUGCAACAGUAUGCACAUUCAGGGAGGAAAGGAAUUAGCAGUGGUCAUCUUUCUGGACCAUCUACCACAGUGGCUAAAGUUAACACCUAGAAAGGAAGGUCGUGUUUUCAGCUUCUUUGACUGCUGCUCCAGGUGUCAAACCCUGAAGGGUGAGCUGACGCUAAAGACUGAGUGGUUAUUUUUUCCAGAAGAGGAGAAAGAUUGAAAAUGUGGCCGGCCGAUUCUCCCUGAUGAUCACACAGACAGACCUGCAUGACAGUCAAACAGACAGGCCUGCAUAGCACCCCAGUUACACAGACGAAUUUCCCCAGAGCUGCCUUAACAUUGAGCAAAUAGUUAAACCUAGGGAAAUUGGUGCCCAGACAGCAAAGCUAGAAAUGAAACAUAUGGUCAGUAGGAGCCUUGCGUGGGCUUCUCCCUAACCUGGAGCAAACCAAAAUAAUAGAGACAGUCUUUCAUUCCUAGUGCCAGGACCCGUCUCGGGUCAACGAAAUCUGAGACAGUCAAGGUAACAGAGGCAGCUGUUCGAAUAGAUUCAUUGGAGAGUCUAAGGCAGCCCUCCAGACCAAGCUGUAAAGCAGAUAAGAUAGAAAUAAUCACUCUGGUACCACAGUAGACAGGCCUUGUAGGUACUGGGCCGCUCACAGCUUAAUCCGACUUAGAAAGCAUUUUUGCCUCUGACCUUCUAGUUGAAACAAAAUUAGUUACCAGUAGACUUAGGCAAAUGCUACACUGCACACAGGCGCAUAACCCCAACCUAUAUAAACACUAAGACAAUUGUUGACACUUUGAGUUGGCCUGGUGGAAUUAUCUCCAGCCUUCUGCCUGUAUCUGGUUACAGCAAUAAAUUCCCUUCUUUCCUAGUC
rnacentral:lncRNA from 1 species